GUGGGGAAUUUUGCGCAAUGGGCGAAAGCCUGACGCAGCGACGCCGCGUGAGUGAUGAAGGUCUUCGGAUCGUAAAGCUCUUUCGACCGGGACGAAAACGGGCUGGCUAACAUCCAGUUCUUUGACGGUACCGGGAGAAGAAGCACCGGCUAACUCUGUGCCAGCAGCCGCGGUAAUACAGAGGGUGCGAGCGUUGUUCGGAAUUAUUGGGCGUAAAGCGCGUGUAGGCGGUGGUGCGUGUCGGGUGUGAAAGCCCUCGGCUUAACCGGGGAAGUGCGCCCGAGACUGCAUCGCUGGAGUGCCGGAGAGGGUGGCGGAAUUCCGGGUGUAGAGGUGAAAUUCGUAGAUAUCCGGAGGAACACCAGUGGCGAAGGCGGCCACCUGGACGGACACUGACGCUGAGACGCGAAAGCGUGGGGAGCAAACAGGAUUAGAAACCCCGGUAGUCC
rnacentral:rRNA from 1 species